rnacentral:rRNA from 1 species
UACGUAGGAUCCGAGCGUUAUCCGGAUUUAUUGGGUUUAAAGGGUGCGCAGGCGGGGGAUUAAGUCGGCGGUGAAAUUUCGCAGCUCAACUGUAAAAGUGCCUUCGAAACUGGUUUCCUUGAGUGUAGAUGAAGUAGGCGGAAUUUGUGGUGUAGCGGUGAAAUGCAUAGAUAUCACGAGGAACUCCGAUUGCGCAGGCAGCUUACUAAACUACUACUGACGCUCAGGCACGAAGGCGUGGGGAUCAAACAGGAUUAGAUACCCUGGUAGU